rnacentral:rRNA from 1 species
GACAGAGGGUGCAAACGUUGUUCGGAAUUACUGGGCGUAAAGCGCGUGUAGGCUGCUCGGAAAGUCGGAUGUGAAAGCCCUGGGCUUAACCCAGGAAGUGCAUUCGAAACUCCCGAGCUGGAGUCCUGGAGAGGAAGGCGGAAUUCUCGGUGUAGAGGUGAAAUUCGUAGAUAUCGAGAGGAACAUCGGUGGCGAAGGCGGCCUUCUGGACAGUGAC